UACGUAGGGUGCGAGCGUUGUCCGGAAUUAUUGGGCGUAAAGGGCUCGUAGGCGGUUUGUCGCGUCGGGAGUGAAAACUCAGGGCUUAACCCUGAGCCUGCUUCCGAUACGGGCAGACUAGAGGUAUGCAGGGGAGAACGGAAUUCCUGGUGUAGCGGUGAAAUGCGCAGAUAUCAGGAGGAACACCGGUGGCGAAGGCGGUUCUCUGGGCCGGUACUGACACUGAGGAGCGAAAGCGUGGGUAGCAAACAGG
rnacentral:rRNA from 1 species